GAAGAACCACUUUAAUGCUGAAAGGGUUCUUUGUGUCAGAGUUUAGGGUUCUGAAUUCCAGCCCUUUUGUUUUUCAAAUUUUUAACUGGCAAAGAACUUUAUUACUUAGUUUCUGGAGUUCAAUGAUCCAACUAAAGACUGUCAACACACUCUCAACAGUGUGAGCAGCUCUGGCUGAGGACACUCCUGUUCUCCACUAAGUUAAGCCUACUGAUAUUCUGUAGUUAACCAACUACACAGACUGUCAACACAUUCUCAACAG